rnacentral:rRNA from 1 species
AGGAGAGGAUGACGUCAAGUCAUCAUGGCCUUUAUGCCUAGGGCCACACACGUGCAACAAUGGCCGGUACAGACGGAGGCAAUGCCGAGAGGCGGAGCAAACCCGAGUAAAACCGGUCCCAGUUCGGAUUGAGGUCUGCAACUCGACCUCAUGAAGUCGGAAUCGCUAGUAAUCGCAUAUCAGAACGAUGCGGUGAAUACGUUCCCGGGCCUUGUACACACCGCCCGUCACACCACGAAAGUUUGUUGUACCCGAAGUCGGUGCCUUAACCUCGCAAGAGGAGAGAGCCGCCCAAGGUAUGGCCGAUGAUUGGGGUGAAGUCGUAACAAGGUAGCCGUAGGGGAACCUGCGGCUGGAUCACCUCUUUCUAGGAGAGAAGGGUCCUGGAUGAAGCGCUCCUAUUUAGUCUUGUGAAGGAUCCGAGUGGAAGCCGGGACCGGAGAGAUACCGGGCCUGUAGCUCAGAUGGUGAGAGCGCACGCCUGAUAAGCGUGAGGUCGAUAGUUCGAAUCUAUCCAGGCCCA